rnacentral:rRNA from 1 species
UACGUAGGUGGCGAGCGUUGUCCGGAUUUAUUGGGUUUAAAGGGUGCGUAGGCGGCUUUGUAAGUCAGUGGUGAAAUACGGCAGCUUAACUGUCGAGGUGCCAUUGAUACUGGGGAACUUGAGUACUGAUGAGGUAAGCGGAAUGGACGGUGUAGCGGUGAAAUGCUUAGAUAUCGUCCAGAACACCGAUAGCGAAGGCAGCUUACUAAAGAGUAACUGACGCUGAGGCACGAAAGUGUGGGGAUCAAACAGG